GCCCGGGUGGCUCAGUCGGUUGAGCAUCCGAUUUUGGCUCAGGUCACGAUCUCACCGGUCGCGGGUUCGAGCCCCGCGUCGGGCU